rnacentral:ncRNA from 2 species
CGGCCCAUCACAGCGCCAGCGCCCGCCGCCAGCGGCGGGACGACGAGGGGAAGGGAGUAUCGAAGGAUUCGGCGGAUGCCCUUCCGUGCCCACGGGCGCGUACACAGCCGGCAAAUAUGCGGGCAACCGCAAAACAAGGGGGCUGUGACCGUGAAGA